rnacentral:rRNA from 1 species
UGGGGAAUUUUGGACAAUGGGCGAAAGCCUGAUCCAGCAAUGCCGCGUGUGUGAAGAAGGCCUUCGGGUUGUAAAGCACUUUUGUCCGGAAAGAAAUCCUUGGCUCUAAUACAGUCGGGGGAUGACGGUACCGGAAGAAUAAGCACCGGCUAACUACGUGCCAGCAGCCGCGGUAAUACGUAGGGUGCAAGCGUUAAUCGGAAUUACUGGGCGUAAAGCGUGCGCAGGCGGUUUGCUAAGACCGAUGUGAAAUCCCCGGGCUCAACCUGGGAACUGCAUUGGUGACUGGCAGGCUAGAGUAUGGCAGAGGGGGGUAGAAUUCCACGUGUAGCAGUGAAAUGCGUAGAGAUGUGGAGGAAUACCGAUGGCGAAGGCAGCCCCUGGGCCAAUACUGACGCUCAUGCACGAAAGCGUGGGGAGCAAACAGGAUUAGAUACCCUGGUAGUCCACGCCCUAAACGAUGUCAACUAGUUGUUGGGGAUUCAUUUCCUUAGUAACGUAGCU